rnacentral:rRNA from 1 species
UCAUGGCUCAGAUUGAACGCUGGCGGCAUGCCUUACACAUGCAAGUCGAACGGCAGCAUGAUCUAGCUUGCUAGAUUGAUGGCGAGUGGCGAACGGGUGAGUAAUACAUCGGAACGUGCCCUGUAGUGGGGGAUAACUAGUCGAAAGAUUAGCUAAUACCGCAUACGACCUGAGGGUGAAAGUGGGGGACCGCAAGGCCUCAUGCUAUAGGAGCGGCCGAUGUCUGAUUAGCUAGUUGGUGAGGUAAAGGCUCACCAAGGCGACGAUCAGUAGCUGGUCUGAGAGGACGAUCAGCCACACUGGGACUGAGACACGGCCCAGACUCCUACGGGAGGCAGCAGUGGGGAAUUUUGGACAAUGGGGGCAACCCUGAUCCAGCAAUGCCGCGUGUGUGAAGAAGGCCUUCGGGUUGUAAAGCACUUUUGUCCGGAAAGAAAUCGCACUUACUAAUAUUAGGUGUGGAUGACGGUACCGGAAGAAUAAGGACCGGCUAACUACGUGCCAGCAGCCGCGGUAAAUACGUAGGGUCCAAGCGUUAAUCGGAAUUACUGGGCGUAAAGCGUGCGCAGGCGGUUGUGCAAAGACCGAUGUGAAAUCCCCGGGCUUAACCUGGGAAUUGCAUUGGUGACUGCACGGCUAGAGUGUGUCAGAGGGGGGUAGAAUUCCACGUGUAGCAGUGAAAUUGCGUAGAGAUGUGGAGGNANNCCGAUGGCGAAGGCAGCCCCCUGGGNAUAACACUGACGCUCAUGCACGAAAGCGUGGAGAGCAAACAGGAUUAGAUACCCUGGUAGUCCACGCCCUAAACGAUGUCAACUAGUUGUUGGGGAUUCAUUUCCUUAGUAACGUAGCUAACGCGUGAAGUUGACCGCCUGGGGGAGUACGGUCGCAAGAUUAAAACUCAAAGGAAUUGACGGGGACCCGCACAAGCGGUGGAUGAUGUGGAUUAAUUCGAUGCAACGCGAAAAACCUUACCUACCCUUGACAUGCCACUAACGAAGCAGAGAUGCAUUAGGUGCUCGAAAGAGAAAGUGGACACAGGUGCUGCAUGGCUGUCGUCAGCUCGUGUCGUGAGAUGUUGGGUUAAGUCCCGCAACGAGCGCAACCCUUGUCUCUAGUUGCUACGAAAGGGCACUCUAGAGAGACUGCCGGUGACAAACCGGAGGAAGGUGGGGAUGACGUCAAGUCCUCAUGGCCCUUAUGGGUAGGGCUUCACACGUCACACAAUGGUGCAUACAGAGGGUUGCCAAGCCGCGAGGUGGAGCUAAUCCCAGAAAAUGCAUCGUAGUCCGGAUCGUAGUCUGCAACUCGACUACGUGAAGCUGGAAUCGCUAGUAAUCGCGGAUCAGCAUGCCGCGGUGAAUACGUUCCCGGGUCUUGUACACACCGCCCGUCACACCAUGGGAGUGGGUUUUGCCAGAAGUAGUUAGCCUAACCGCAAGG